rnacentral:rRNA from 1 species
UACGUAGGUGGCGAGCGUUGUCCGGAUUUACUGGGCGUAAAGGGAGUGUAGGCGGACUUUUAAGUGAGAUGUGAAAUACUCGGGCUCAACUUGAGUGCUGCAUUUCAAACUGGAAGUCUAGAGUGCAGGAGAGGAGAAUGGAAUUCCUAGUGUAGCGGUGAAAUGCGUAGAGAUUAGGAAGAACACCAGUGGCGAAGGCGAUUCUCUGGACUGUAACUGACGCUGAGGCUCGAAAGCGUGGGGAGCAAACAGG